AUCUACAGGCUUAACACAUGCAAGUCGAGGGGCAGCAUGGUCUUAGCUUGCUAAGGCCGAUGGCGACCGGCGCACGGGUGAGUAACACGUAUCCAACCUGCCGUCUACUCUUGGACAGCCUUCUGAAAGGAAGAUUAAUACAAGAUGGCAUCAUGAGUCCGCAUGUUCACAUGAUUAAAGGUAUUCCGGUAGACGAUGGGGAUGCGUUCCAUUAGAUAGUAGGCGGGGUAACGGCCCACCUAGUCUUCGAUGGAUAGGGGUUCUGAGAGGAAGGUCCCCCACAUUGGAACUGAGACACGGUCCAAACUCCUACGGGAGGCAGCAGUGAGGAAUAUUGGUCAAUGGGCGAGAGCCUGAACCAGCCAAGUAGCGUGAAGGAUGACUGCCCUAUGGGUUGUAAACUUCUUUUAUAAAGGAAUAAAGUCGGGUAUGGAUACCCGUUUGCAUGUACUUUAUGAAUAAGGAUCGGCUAACUCCGUGCCAGCAGCCGCGGUAAUACGGAGGAUCCGAGCGUUAUCCGGAUUUAUUGGGUUUAAAGGGAGCGUAGAUGGAUGUUUAAGUCAGUUGUGAAAGUUUGCGGCUCAACCGUAAAAUUGCAGUUGAUACUGGAUAUCUUGAGUGCAGUUGAGGCAGGCGGAAUUCGUGGUGUAGCGGUGAAAUGCUUAGAUAUCACGAAGAACUCCGAUUGCGAAGGCAGCCUGCUAAGCUGCAACUGACAUUGAGGCUCGAAAGUGUGGGUAUCAAACAGGAUUAGAUACCCUGGUAGUCCACACGGUAAACGAUGAAUACUCGCUGUUUGCGAUAUACUGCAAGCGGCCAAGCGAAAGCGUUAAGUAUUCCACCUGGGGAGUACGCCGGCAACGGUGAAACUCAAAGGAAUUGACGGGGGCCCGCACAAGCGGAGGAACAUGUGGUUUAAUUCGAUGAUACGCGAGGAACCUUACCCGGGCUUAAAUUGCAGAUGAAUUACGGUGAAAGCCGUAAGCCGCAAGGCAUCUGUGAAGGUGCUGCAUGGUUGUCGUCAGCUCGUGCCGUGAGGUGUCGGCUUAAGUGCCAUAACGAGCGCAACCCUUGUUGUCAGUUACUAACAGGUUCCGCUGAGGACUCUGACAAGACUGCCAUCGUAAGAUGUGAGGAAGGUGGGGAUGACGUCAAAUCAGCACGGCCCUUACGUCCGGGGCUACACACGUGUUACAAUGGGGGGUACAGAGGGCCGCUACCACGCGAGUGGAUGCCAAUCCCCAAAACCUCUCUCAGUUCGGACUGGAGUCUGCAACCCGACUCCACGAAGCUGGAUUCGCUAGUAAUCGCGCAUCAGCUACGGCGCGGUGAAUACGUUCCCGGGCCUUGUACACACCGCCCGUCAAGCCAUGGGAGCCGGGGGUACCUGAAGUGCGUAACCGCGAGGAGCGCCCUAGGGUAAAACUGGUGACUGGGGCUAAG
rnacentral:rRNA from 1 species